rnacentral:rRNA from 1 species
AUACGUAGGGUGCAAGCGUUAAUCGGAAUUACUGGGCGUAAAGCGUGCGCAGGCGGUUUUGUAAGACAGUGGUGAAAUCCCCGGGCUCAACCUGGGAACUGCCAUUGUGACUGCAAGGCUGGAGUGCGGCAGAGGGGGAUGGAAUUCCGCGUGGAGCAGUGAAAUGCGUAGAUAUGCGGAGGAACACCGAUGGCGAAGGCAAUCCCCUGGGCCUGCACUGACGCUCAUGCACGAAAGCGUGGGGAGCAAACAGGAUUAGAUACCCUGGUAGUCCACGCCCUAAACGAUGUCAACUGGUUGUUGGGGAUUUAUUUUCUCAGUAACGAAGCUAACGCGUGAAGUUGACCGCCUGGGGAGUACGGCCGCAAGGUUAAAACUCAAAGGAAUUGACCGGG